rnacentral:rRNA from 1 species
CAAUAGCGUAUAUUAAAGUUGUUGCAGUUAAAAAGCUCGUAGUUGGAUUUCUGGUAGGAGCGACCGUGCCGAACUUGAUUGUUCGAGUAUUGUGUUGUCUUCAGCCAUCCUCGUGGAGAACUUUUCUAACAUUAACUUGUUGGGAUUGGGACCCGCGUCGUUUACUGUGAAAAAAUUAGAGUGUUUAAAGCAGGCAUUAGCCUGAAUACAUUAGCAUGGAAUAAUAAGAUAGGACUUUGGUACUAUUUUGUUGGUUUGCAUACCAAAUUAAUGAUCAACAGGAACAGUUUGAGGAUAUUCGUAUGAACAUGUCAGAGGUGAAAUUCUUGGAUUUUGAUCAGACGAACUACUGCGAAAGCAUUUAUCAAGGAUGUUUUCAUUAA